UCUACAAAUGAUUACAAUACCACAACAAUCGGCUCCCGAGUGACGCAGUGGUCUAAGGCGUCACUACAGACCAGCCGUGAUCGGGAGUCCCAUAGGGCGGCGCACAAUUGGCCCAGCGUCAUUAGGUGAGGGUUUGGCCGGGGUAGGCCGUCAUUGUAAAUAAGAAUUUAUUCUGACUUUCCAAGUUAAAUAAAAUAAAAUAAAAAAUAAAUAGCAUGUUAUGGCCAAAUUCAGUAGAGGGAGCCAAAGUCUGUUGGAUGCUUCAAGCAAUGGUUAUAGAAAAGAGCAGUGGGAGAGGAUGAAAAGUGGGAGAGGUAGUGGAAUACUAGUGGUUCUGUAGAAGCCCGGGAUCUGGUCUUCUGUGGCAUAAUGUGAAAAAUACUGUAUACUCUGCUCAAUACGGGCUAAACAAGUUCCCUGUACUCAUGACAUAUGCAGUGAUGUCCACAACGCUGCAACUCCCUGGUCCUCCACCGUAGAAGAGCAAUCCACACGCUGGGUUGCUGGGGAUUUGGCCCCACCUGGUGCUAAGUAUCAUCCCAUAGGUUAGAGGAGAGGGACCAUAGGGUCCAUAAUGCAUCGUCAGCAGGCGUGGGGAUCCAGAGAGGGGGGAUAAUCCACAUUGUUAUCAGGUAAGACCCAAGUGCAGACUGUGUUGAAGUAGCAAUGUUUAUUGCAACAACAGGGGCAGGCAAACGACAGGUGAGGGCAGGCAGGGGUCGAUAAUCCAGAGUAGAGGGGCCAAGGUACAGGAUGGCAGACAGGCCCAGGUUCAGGUCAGGCAGAGGUCGGUAAUCCAGAGUAGGGGCAAGGGCACCGGACGGAAGGCAGGCUCAGAGUCAGGACAGGCAAGGGUCAAAACCAGGAGGACCAGAAAACGAGAGACUGAGGAAAAGCAGGCGCUGAGACAAACCGCUGGUUGACUUGAACAAAUAAGAUGAACUGGCACAGACAGACAGAAAACACAGGUAUAAAUACCCAGGGGAUAAGUGGGGAAGAUGGGCGACACCUGGAGGGGGGUGGAGACAAGCACAAGGACAGGUGAAACAGAUCAGAGCAUGACAAUUGUAGUAGUUCACUGGAGACCCCAGGGCCAUGCUCCACUGGACAGCAGGUGUACAGUGUGGAAAGUACCCUGUGUGGUCUCUGUGGGCUCUAGUGCUCUAGUGGUGUCAGCAAAGUCACAAAUACAUCGAGACAAAGGACCAUGAAAGAUAGUGACCUGGGUCUAUGUAUUUAACUGGAUUGUGACUGACAACGCACCUGGUUAGAGGAGAAUAAAGCAGCCCAAGUGUUUAUUUAUCUUUAUUUAAACACACUGAGGAAGAUGAACAUGGGGAUGUACACUACCGGUCCAAAGUUUUAGAACACCUAUUCAUUCAAGAGUUUUUCUUUAUUUUUACUAUUUUCUACAUUGUAGAAUAAUAGUGAAGAUAUCAAAACUAUGAAAUAACACAUAUGGAAUCAUGUAGUAACCAAAAAAGUGUUAAACAAAUCAAAAUAUAUUUUACAUUUCAAAUUCUUCAAAUAGCCACCCUUUGCCUUGAUGACAGCUUUGCACACUCUUGGCAUUCUCUCAACCAGCUUCACCUGGAAUAAUUUUCCAACAGUCUUGAAGGAGUUCCCAUAUAUGCUGAGCACUUGUUGGCUGAUUUUCUUUCACUCUGCGGUCCGACUCAUCCCAAACCAUCUCAAUUUGGUUGAGGUCAGGGGAUUGUGGAGGCCAGGUCAUCUAAUGCAGCACUCCAUCACUUUCCUUCUUGGUAAAAUAGCCCUUACAGAGCCUGGACGUGUGUUGGGUCAUUGUCCUGUUGAUAAACAAAUGAAGUCCCACUAAGCCCAAACCAGAUGGGAUGGCGAAUCACUGCAGAAUGCUGUGGUAGCCAUGCUGGUUAAGUGUGCCUUGAAUUCUAAAUAAAUCACAGACAGCGUCACCAGCAAAGCACCCCCACACUAUAACACCUCCUCUAUGCUUUACGGUGGAAAAUACACAUGCGGAGAUCAUGCGUUCCCCAACAUCGCAUCUCACAAAGUUACGGUGGUUGGAACCAAACAUUUCCACCGGUCUAAUGUCCAUUGCUCGUGAUUCUUGGCCCAAGCAAGUCUCUUCUUCUUACUGGUGUCCUUUAGUAGUGGUUUCUUUGCA
rnacentral:lncRNA from 1 species